rnacentral:rRNA from 1 species
CCUACGGGGGGCAGCAGUGAGGAAUAUUGGUCAAUGGGCGCGAGCCUGAACCAGCCAAGUAGCGUGAAGGAUGACUGCCCUACGGGGUGUAAACUUCUGGUAUAAAGGAAUAAAGUGAGGCACGUGUGCCUUUUUGUAUGUACUUUAUGAAUAAGGAUCGGCUAACUCCGUGCCAGCAGCCGCGGUAAUACGGAGGAUCCGAGCGUUAUCCGGAUUUAUUGGGGUUAAAGGGAGCGUAGAUGGGUUGUUAAGUCAGUUGUGACAGUUUGCGGCUCUACCGUAAAAUUGCAAUUGAUACUGGCAGUCUUGAGUACAGUUGAGGUAGGCGGAAUUCGUGGUGUCGCGGUGAAAUGCUUCGCUAUCACG